rnacentral:lncRNA from 1 species
AAACAAGAGCUUAUAAAAAGAAGAAAAAAUACAACCUUCUUUCAACAACCUUUGGUUUAUGGUAAAUCCUAUGUCAUUGAUCACAGUGAGAUUUAGUUCCACAUGGAAUAAUUAGUGGAAGGUCGAUAGGUUGGUAUAGAUAACUGGGCUCAAAAUUUAACGGCUUGGACUUUUAUGUUGAACCGGCUAGCGCCAACUUGGAUACCAAAGUCUUCCCCUAAUUAGACUCUAACUCCACCUCCCUAAUAGAAGAAAUCAAAGCCAACGGCUGACAAUCCUAAACUCUGAAAUUGUGAAGGUGCCAGCAAAGCCAAGUCAUGGUAGCUAUAGGUUAUAUACCAAG